UAUCAAUCCUAACUCACACGGAUUUAAACCUCAAAGAAACAUUCAAUCAAUCAAAUAAAACAAUCUAUGCACACGUAAUUUAGGGUUUACAGAUUUUAGGGUUUCACUUUGAACAUUAUUUCAUUCGAUUCUGGGUUCUUAGAGUUUAGGUAUACCUUAAACCUUUGAUGGGUUGAAUGGACCACCAAGAGAAUGAGCUUACGUGGACUGGUACAAACUGGAACCUUACGCGGACUGGUCCAGUCCGCGAGUUAGCUUAGGUUGAGCUGAUCGGGAUCGUUGGUACGCGAGCUGGUACUUGCAGUCAAAGAACUCGUAGAUCUGGAACAGUUUGAUCACGGACUGGAACAGGCUGAUCGUCCAAUCUGAAAUAGUUGAGGCGUACUGAAACUUGCAGAGAUCAGUCCACAGAUCGAUCUUGUUGAGAUCAAUGGUCGAAUAUAGAUCAGGGUCAUGAUCAAAGAGAGGUAAUCGAUAGAGAUUAGGGUUUUAGCAAUGGAGAGAGAUUUAUGGUUUAUGGUCGAUAUUUUAGCUUAGGGUUUUAGAGAUCAAUCGUGCUGAUAACGUGUUGUGAAAGUAAUGGAAAAGUCUAUCUUUAUUCAUAACAUAGAUUCCUUAUAUAAGAGAUUACACCGUCAUAGAUAAAUGGAAAGAUUACAAAUCAUAAUCUCUUGGUUAUGAGCCAUACACAAUCCGGUUCAUAACGAACCAAAUUUAUUUGGGCUUUUAAGUUAAGGUAAUUAUUAAUUAAAUAUACUUGUAAAAUACGUGGGUUAAUUAGUGGGUUAUAGUAGAAUUUUCUGUAAUUAAUAAUAAGAGAGUUAGUGGGUUAGAGAUCAAAAGUGUGUCAAAACUAUAUUAAACGUGGUUCAAUCAUUCGUAUUACAGAAUGUGCAUAUAUAUUAAAAAAAAAAUUCUAAAUAAAAUGUAUGUCACCUGACAACCCAUUGACUAACAUAGGUCCGCCUCUGGUUUUAAUCACAUACUAGAUCCAGACCCGCGCUGUGCGCAGAAUAUUUUCUCAAGUCUUCGUUAGAGUUUUUAAAUUAGUUUAUACUAUAAUUGAAUAUAUGGUUUGUUAACCAUAUUUAUUUGGAUAUAAUAUAUUUUCUGUAUAUGUAUAGUAUUGAUGUGUGCGUUUAAAUAUAGCAUAUAGAUUAUACAUGUGUUCAUUUUAAACGUAUAAACAAUCAUACAAUGUAAUUGGUUUAUUUUGGUUAUUGGAUUGUAACAUCUAAUCAUAUAAGUGCAUAUAGUUAAGGAGUAAAUUUUUUUAAAGUAAAUUUUAAUUUACUUUAUAAAAAAUAUUAGAUUUAAAUUUUUAUAUUUUAUAACAACAACUUUCGCAAUAUCAUAUUUUUAUCUAUUAAUUAUGUGGUAGUACAAAUUAUGGUUUUAUUUAUGUAAUAUUUAAAACCUCAUGAGGCCCACAAAACAUUAAUUGAUUAAUUGGUAAGAUCCAUUAGUCUAUAAAUUAAAUGUGUUUAUGGACCAGGUCCAAUAUAAUCUAAAUUGAUUUGUCCAAAAGGCCAGAUAAUUGAGUCCAAUAACACAACAGAUUUUUUUCCGGGAAGUAACAAAAAAACGUAUCUAAAGUCAACAACUUUUAGCCAUUCUUUUGUCGGUGAAAAGAUAAGACACCAAUAUAUCUUCGUCUCCCUCUGCUCUUGUUCCAUGGAAUCGAUCCGCACGAUUUUACUAAUCUGACGACUCAAUUCUUUGAGAUUAAUUGCCACAGAUCAUUUCCAUCCUCAUCCAUGAGAUUUCCUAAGUCGAUAUCUGUAAGAUUUUAGCUGAGUCAUGACAAACGAAAAGGCUAUUUCAAAAGAAGCAAAACCUAAAUCAAUAACAGAAGCAAAAUUCAUCAAAGACAAUUGCGAAACAGGUAACAAUCAAGUAUUCUUAAAAGGACUUAAGAAGAGUUGUAGACAAACCUGCCUUAGCUUAUACAAAAGAUAAGUUGACAGCAAAUAUUUAUAUACUCACGUUUUAUCUGUUUGACUUUGAAAAGACUUGUAUUUCUUAUACAUUAGCUAAUUGACCUCUUUUAUAUAUGUUUCAGCCAGCUUCUUACAAAUCUCUUUCAGAGAGAGUUCUGUUAUAUAUGGAUGUAUUGAAGAAACAGAGAAAAAAAAAGAGAAUUUCAGAUAACAAAGGAUUUGACGCAGUUACUUGGGCUUGGAACCUUGAUGCAAAGUUCGACCGAAUAUCAUUCAGCAGUCUUGGAAAAACAGUACUCAAAGGAAAUGCGCAGUGAUAACAGGAACUAUGAAUUACCACGAAUUUAAAAGAGGACUCGCUGACAGUGGAAUUGCCUACGAUGGACAUCUUGAAUCUAUGACUCGUUGCUCUGUACUUCUUGGUAGCUGGGUGAAGAGUGAAAUUCUCGAGGAACCUCCAUUCACCAAUCUUAAAUUUCCUAACACGAGCAAAGAAGAGCCUCUUGCAGGAAGCUUGAAUAUCCAGUAUAAAAUCUUGCGAGGAAUAUAUUCAGUUUUCAAGUUUAAGUUGGCCGAGGUUUUUUGCUUGGAAGAAAAGUUAGUUUAGAUUUGAUCAAAUAUAUUUUUAAUACUGUUAUAAUAUUCGGACUAAUGAUUGUAUUAAGGAAAAUAUUGAAACCAAAUUAAGUUGUGAGAUAUUAUUUAGUUAUGGAAUGAACGUUAUUGUAGAUUUGAUCAAAUCUAUUGUUAAUAUUGUUAGAAUAUUCUAGAUGAUUAGAUAUACAUGGACGCUUUUAACGCGGGAUAAGAGAUACAUAACCAACAAUUAUUUUUAAUUUAAUUUGGAAUCGACAAUACCGGCAUAUUCGGAUUUCCAUAUAUUAUGGUGCUUUGCAUUUUAUUUGAAACUAUUAUAUAAAGUUAAGAUAUGAAAUCUAGAAUAACGUGUCUUCCAUACUUGAUUAAUAGGAAGCUUGAAUAUCCAGUAUAAAAUCUUGCGAGGAAUAUAUUCAGUUUUCAAGUUUAAGUUGGCCGAGGUUUUUUGCUUGGAAGAAAAGUUAGUUUAGAUUUGAUCAAAUAUAUUUUUAAUACUGUUAUAAUAUUCGGACUAAUGAUUGUAUUAAGGAAAAUAUUGAAACCAAAUUAAGUUGUGAGAUAUUAUUUAGUUUGGAAUGAACGUUAUUGUAGAUUUGAUCAAAUCUAUUGUUAAUAUUGUUAGAAUAUUCUAGAUGAUUAGAUAUACAUGGACGCUUUUAACGCGGUAUAAGAGAUACAUAACCAACAAUUAUUUUUAAUUUAAUUUGGAAUCGACAAUACCGGUUAUUUGCUUGAACCAAAGUUGGUCUGUUUUUAAUAUUUCGUUUGAAGCAUAUUAAAUAGCGUGUAUCCAUUAUUAUUGUAACACUUUAGAAAGGGCCCAAAACUAAAUGACAACUUUCAACGGUAGAUAAAAAUAGGACUCUAAAUUAAUAGAGUAGAUUUUUCCUAACUACUUGUUUGUCUAUUUCAGAAAAUCCGGUUCCCCGAAGAAAUAAAAAUUUCUUUUAUAAAUUUUGGUUGUACGGGUUUUUGGCUCCCACAUUUAGAUGCAUUAUCUUGUUUGUUUUCUAAAUUUAUUGGUCUAUUUGGAAUAGACAAAUUUAAAUACUUAAGACAAAUUUAGGUCCUAAUUAAAUAUAUUAAAUUAGGGGAAAACAUAAUUUUAGUUGGUGUAUAUCCCAGUCUUGAACCACUGCAACAAUACGACAUAAAAAGUGACCGUAUUUCUGACGAGUGAAAGUUUCAUGCAUAAAAUUAAUCAACCAAUUCAUUUUGUGUGUAUCUUCUUUCAACAAAACACGGUUUGACAAGUCAUGCUUCCAGAUGAUGCUCGAUUACGUUCAUCCAUUUUUUUUUGUUGUUGUUGAAAAUGUAAUAUUUCCCCCGUUCCAUUAAAUUUGUAAUUUUAGUAUUUUCACACAUUUUGAAAAUAAAGUUACAAUACUAACAAUAACCCUAAUUAAUGCAUAGUUUAUAAUAAAAUUGUUAUAUAUAGUUAUUGUCUUAAUUAAUAUGGAUAAAAUAGGCAAAAGCUAUAAAGAUACAUCAAACACACACAAAAUAUUAUCUUUAAAAUUUCCAAAACUACAACCUUCAUGAAACGGAAACAGUAUUAUAUAUAUAUAUAUAAAAAAAAGAGUGCGACAAAGUGAAUUUGAAAAUCCAAAGAGUUUGUUCUGUGAAACCGAAGAAGCGUAAUAGUAAUUGUGUAUGUAUAGAACAAUUUGGCUUUUCUAAUGCACAUAUUUUCAGAAUAUAUGUGUCAAGCCAUAUGUGGUUUCUGUAAGCGGAUCUAUGCAUGUACUUGAAAAGCAUUCAAAAUCAAAAAAAGGAAGAGGUUGGAGAUGCAAAAAUCAGCUGUACAUCAUGAAUCAGAUUUAAGUAUAGAAUCUGCUGUCAAGUAUACGGGUGAAAUGAUUAAAGAUGAGACAGAGCUAAAGACUUAAAGACGGGAUUAGCGAUCAAGUCAGCAUAAAUGCAGCAAUCACUUGAGAAAAAGAAUGCAGAGAUUCACUUUGGAGAAUGGAGAUCUUGUCUAGAAUGUUUAUUAAAAACUUAUAAACUUUAUGGAACUUACCAUUUUGGAGAUUUAGUAAAUAUCUUUUAGAAGGCUAGGUUAGCCGAUUGA